rnacentral:rRNA from 1 species
UACGUAGGCAGCAAGCGUUGUUCGGAGUUACUGGGCGUAAAGGGUGUGUAGGCGGUUCUUUAAGUUUGGUGUGAAAUCUCCCGGCUCAACUGGGAGGGUGCGCCGAAUACUGAGGGACUAGAGUACGGGAGAGGAAAGUGGAAUUCCUGGUGUAGCGGUGAAAUGCGUAGAUAUCUGGAGGAACACCGGUGGCGAAGGCGGCAUCCUGGACCGACACUGACGCUGAGGAGCGAAAGCCAGGGGAGCAAACGGG